UACAGAGGGUGCAAGCGUUAAUCGGAAUUACUGGGCGUAAAGGGCGCGUAGGCGGGACUUCAAGCUGGAUGUGAAAUACCUGGGCUUAACCUGGGGGGAGUCAUUCAUAACUGGAGAUCUAGAGUAUGGGAGAGGGGAGUGGAAUUCACAGUGUAGCGGUGAAAUGCGUAGAUAUUGUGAGGAACAUCGAUGGCGAAGGCAGCUCUCUGGCCUGAUACUGACGCUGAGGCGCGAAAGCAUGGGGAGCGAACAGG
rnacentral:rRNA from 1 species